ensembl:snRNA U6 U6 spliceosomal RNA
GUGCUCACUUCAGCAACACAUACACUACAAUUGGAACGAUACAGAGUAGAUUAGCAUGGCCCCUGUACAAGUAUGACAGGCACAUUCAUGAAGUGUUCCAUAUUUUU